UACGUAGGGUCCAAGCGUUAUCCGGAAUCACUGGGCGUAAGCGUGCGUAGGUGGCGCGUUAAGUGAGAUGUUAAAACGUGGGGCUCAACCCUGUCGGUGCAUCUCAUACUGGCGUGCUAGAGGACAGCAGAGGCAAGUGGAAUUUGUAGUGUAGCAGUGAAAUGCGUAGAUAUCAGGAGGAACACCGAUGGCGAAGGCAGGUCUCUGGGCCACUACUGACGCUGAGAAGCGAAAAGCAUGGGGGAGCGAACAGG
rnacentral:rRNA from 1 species